CCCCCGUCAAUUCCUUUGAGUUUUAAUCUUGCGACCGUACUCCCCANGCGGAAUGUUUAAUGCGUUAGCUGCGCCACCGAACAGUAAACUGCCCGACGGCUAACAUUCAUCGUUUACGGCGUGGACUACCANGGUAUCUAAUCCUGUUUGCUCCCCACGCUUUCGCACCUCAGCGUCAGUACCAGACCAGUGAGCCGCCUUCGCCACUGGUGUUCCUCCGAAUAUCUACGAAUUUCACCUCUACACUCGGAAUUCCACUCACCUCUUCUGGACUCUAGAUUGACAGUAUCAAAGGCAGUUCCAGAGUUGAGCUCUGGGAUUUCACCCCUGACUGAUCAAUCCGCCUAC
rnacentral:rRNA from 1 species